AAUCUGAGGGAGCUUGCUCCCAAAGAUUAGCGGCGGACGGGUGAGUAACACGUGGGCAACCUGCCUGUAAGACUGGGAUAACUUCGGGAAACCGGAGCUAAUACCGGAUAAUCCCUUUCCUCACAUGAGGAAAGGCUGAAAGACGGCUUCUAGCUGUCACUUACAGAUGGGCCCGCGGCGCAUUAGCUAGUUGGUGAGGUAACGGCUCACCAAGGCCACGAUGCGUAGCCGACCUGAGAGGGUGAUCGGCCACACUGGGACUGAGACACGGCCCAGACUCCUACGGGAGGCAGCAGUAGGGAAUCUUCCGCAAUGGACGAAAGUCUGACGGAGCAACGCCGCGUGAGUGAUGAAGGUUUUCGGAUCGUAAAACUCUGUUGUUGGGGAAGAACAAGUAUCGGAGUAACUGCCGGUACCUUGACGGUACCUAACCGGAAAGCCACGGCUAACUACGUGCCAGCAGCCGCGGUAAUACGUAGGUGGCAAGCGUUGUCCGGAAUUAUUGGGCGUAAAGCGCGCGCAGGUGGUUCCUUAAGUCUGAUGUGAAAGCCCACGGCUCAACCGUGGAGGGUCAUUGGAAACUGGGGAACUUGAGUGCAGAAGAGGAAAGUGGAAUUCCAAGUGUAGCGGUGAAAUGCGUAGAGAUUUGGAGGAACACCAGUGGCGAAGGCGACUUUCUGGUCUGUAACUGACACUGAGGCGCGAAAGCGUGGGGAGCGAACAGGAUUAGAUACCCUGGUAGUCCACGCCGUAAACGAUGAGUGCUAAGUGUU
rnacentral:rRNA from 1 species